GAUGAACGCUAGCGGGAGGCUUAACACAUGCAAGUCGCGGGGCAGCAUGAUGUAGCAAUACAUUGAUGGCGACCGGCGCACGGGUGAGUAACGCGUAUGCAACCUGCCCAGUACAGGGGGAUAGCCCGGAGAAAUUCGGAUUAAUACCCCAUAAUGAUAAGAGAUGGCAUCAUUUUUUAUUUAAAGUUACGGCGGUACUGGAUGGGCAUGCGUGACAUUAGCUAGUUGGUAGGGUAACGGCCUACCAAGGCAUCGAUGUCUAGGGGUCCUGAGAGGGUGAUCCCCCACACUGGUACUGAGACACGGACCAGACUCCUACGGGAGGCAGCAGUGAGGAAUAUUGGUCAACGGGCGCAAGCCUGAACCAGCCAUCCCGCGUGAAGGAAGAAUGCGCUAUGCGUUGUAAACUUCUUUUCCAGGGGAAUAAAAUUUCGUACGAGUGCGGGACUGAAGGUACCUUGGGAAUAAGCAUCGGCUAACUCCGUGCCAGCAGCCGCGGUAAU
rnacentral:rRNA from 1 species